rnacentral:rRNA from 1 species
GAUGAACGCUAGCGGCAGGCUUAAUACAUGCAAGUCGUGGGGCAGCAGGUUUGUAGCAAUACAGAUGCUGGCGACCGGCAAACGGGUGCGGAACACGUACAGAACCUUCCUUUGAGCGGGGAAUAGCCCAGAGAAAUUUGGAUUAAUACCCCAUAGUAUAAUGAAGUGGCAUCACUUUAUUAUUAAAGAUUUAUCACUCGAAGAUGGCUGUGCGGCUGAUUAGGUAGUUGGCGGGGUAAAGGCCCACCAAGCCUGCGAUCAGUAACUGGUGUGAGAGCACGACCAGUCACACGGGCACUGAGACACGGGCCCGACUCCUACGGGAGGCAGCAGUAAGGAAUAUUGGUCAAUGGAGGCAACUCUGAACCAGCCAUGCCGCGUGGAGGAUGAAGGUCCUCUGGAUUGUAAACUUCUUUAUAUGGACGAAAAAAGGCUUUUCUAAGUCGUCUGACGGUACCAUAUGAAUAAGCACCGGCUAACUCCGUGCCAGCAGCCGACGG